rnacentral:piRNA from 1 species
UACAGAAAUCACGUGUCCGGCAGC